rnacentral:rRNA from 1 species
UACGUAGGGGGCAAGCGUUGUCCGGAUUUAUUGGCGUAAAGAGCUCGUAGGCGGUUUGGUAAGUCGGAUGUGAAAUCGUCCACGCUACAACGUGGGAGGGGCCAUACGACGACUGCCAUGACUAGGAGUCGGUAGAGGAAUGUGGAAGUUCCGGUGUAGCGGUGAAAUGCGACAGAGAUCGGGAGGACACCCGAUAGCGAA